GUUUAUACUUUGUACUUACCGGCUUUAGGUCAUUUUGGCAGACCUCAUUCUUAUCUUUGCUUACCACCGUUUCUGGCCUUGGUUUUGCAACUAACCCUUCCUUACCUUGAAUGGCAAUCGUGUUGAGUUGCUCCCUUGGGUUAGAUUCAGUGUUGCUUGGCAGGCUACCUUGUGGUCGUUCGAAAAUUAACUUAGCGAGCUGUCCAAUCUGAGUUUUGAGCCCUUGGAUCGAUGCUUGUUGAUUUUUAAGUGCUGUCUCGGUAU
rnacentral:lncRNA from 1 species